AAAUUGAAGAGUUUGAUCAUGGCUCAGAUUGAACGCUGGCGGCAGGCCUAACACAUGCAAGUCGAACGGUAACAGGAAGCAGCUUGCUGCUUUGCUGACGAGUGGCGGACGGGUGAGUAAUGUCUGGGAAACUGCCUGAUGGAGGGGGAUAACUACUGGAAACGGUGGCUAAUACCGCAUAAUGUCGCAAGACCAAAGAGGGGGACCUUCGGGCCUCUUGCCAUCAGAUGUGCCCAGAUGGGAUUAGCUUGUUGGUGAGGUAACGGCUCACCAAGGCGACGAUCCCUAGCUGGUCUGAGAGGAUGACCAGCCACACUGGAACUGAGACACGGUCCAGACUCCUACGGGAGGCAGCAGUGGGGAAUAUUGCACAAUGGGCGCAAGCCUGAUGCAGCCAUGCCGCGUGUAUGAAGAAGGCCUUCGGGUUGUAAAGUACUUUCAGCGGGGAGGAAGGUGUUGUGGUUAAUAACCGCAGCAAUUGACGUUACCCGCAGAAGAAGCACCGGCUAACUCCGUGCCAGCAGCCGCGGUAAUACGGAGGGUGCAAGCGUUAAUCGGAAUUACUGGGCGUAAAGCGCACGCAGGCGGUCUGUCAAGUCGGAUGUGAAAUCCCCGGGCUCAACCUGGGAACUGCAUUCGAAACUGGCAGGCUUGAGUCUUGUAGAGGGGGGUAGAAUUCCAGGUGUAGCGGUGAAAUGCGUAGAGAUCUGGAGGAAUACCGGUGGCGAAGGCGGCCCCCUGGACAAAGACUGACGCUCAGGUGCGAAAGCGUGGGGAGCAAACAGGAUUAGAUACCCUGGUAGUCCACGCCGUAAACGAUGUCUACUUGGAGGUUGUGCCCUUGAGGCGUGGCUUCCGGAGCUAACGCGUUAAGUAGACCGCCUGGGGAGUACGGCCGCAAGGUUAAAACUCAAAUGAAUUGACGGGGGCCCGCACAAGCGGUGGAGCAUGUGGUUUAAUUCGAUGCAACGCGAAGAACCUUACCUGGUCUUGACAUCCACAGAACUUUCCAGAGAUGGAUUGGUGCCUUCGGGAACUGUGAGACAGGUGCUGCAUGGCUGUCGUCAGCUCGUGUUGUGAAAUGUUGGGUUAAGUCCCGCAACGAGCGCAACCCUUAUCCUUUGUUGCCAGCGGUUAGGCCGGGAACUCAAAGGAGACUGCCAGUGAUAAACUGGAGGAAGGUGGGGAUGACGUCAAGUCAUCAUGGCCCUUACGACCAGGGCUACACACGUGCUACAAUGGCGCAUACAAAGAGAAGCGACCUCGCGAGAGCAAGCGGACCUCAUAAAGUGCGUCGUAGUCCGGAUUGGAGUCUGCAACUCGACUCCAUGAAGUCGGAAUCGCUAGUAAUCGUGGAUCAGAAUGCCACGGUGAAUACGUUCCCGGGCCUUGUACACACCGCCCGUCACACCAUGGGAGUGGGUUGCAAAAGAAGUAGGUAGCUUAACCUUCGGGAGGGCGCUUACCACUUUGUGAUUCAUGACUGGGGUGAAGUCGUAACAAGGUAACCGUAGGGGAACCUGCGGUUGGAUCACCUCCUUA
rnacentral:rRNA from 1 species